UGCGCUCUGGGAGGCUGAGGCAGGAGGGUCGCAAGUUCGAACCCAGCUUGGGCCCCGUGGCUAUUUAGCGAAACCCUGACUCAAAGUAACAGGGGCUCGGGACGUGGCUCUGCCCAGAGGCCCUGAGUUCCAAGCCCAGGACCUGAAAAGGAGCCGGAGAAGGAGAGGGGUCGGAGGAAGACGAUGACGGUGGGGGCGCAGCUCCGCGCCCCGCCUGUGCCAGGGACCAGCUUCUAGGGAGCGACAGGGCAGACCGCAGCCCGACGUACACCACCCUCGGGGGGCGGAGAGGGGCCCCGCGGACCCGCUGGGCUUGGGCCGAGUAGAGAUCCGGGCUAGCCGCUGCGGUGCGGGGCCGGGGGCCGUGGCCCGGGGUCCUCGAACUCCCUCCCCCCGGAUCCCCGCCCCGUGUCUCUGGGACAGCGGCGACCCCCGAGCACAGUGAAGUCCAGGGUUCGCGCCCGGGUUCGCAGAGGAACCGCUGGGGCCGCUCCGCCAUCCCGCAGGACUUCGCCCUGGGUGCUGCGCGCUGACCUCAGUCCUGCCCCACGACGACCCUGUCCAGGGCCCGGCUGUUUGCCGCCCGCGGAGGGCCCGACCUGCAAGGCUCCCCCUGGUGUCCAGAGGUGGGAACGCGAGCGGAUCGGAAGGGACGGUCACCCCCUGAGGAACACUGGGUCUGACACCAGGCCUGAGGGGCCAGGAACCCCUUCCACACCGGGAGCCAGCAAGCGGCCUCACGGCCCCUGGUCCCUGUCAUAACGCCAGGCCUCUCCACAACCACGGCUGCCGUGCAACACAGAAAGUGAACCCACACCGCAGUGUUUUUCCUAGCUCACGAGCAGUAAGAAAACCAAUAAGGAGCUAGGCUUGCCCAGAGAUGAACCCGAUGCAGAACUGGCUUGGGGCGGCGGGAGAUCAGGCGACAAAACAGAUUUACUUAAACCGAACACAAACACUUGAAUUAGUCCUGAUUGUGUUUGUUUAGUGAGGAAACGGUUCACUGAGAGUAGGUGGGAGAGCGAGGACCAUCUUGGGCACAGCAGAAGGACCUGGGUGGGGCCCCUGGUCCUACCCCGAGACUGCAGUCCCUGGCUCAGCUCCAGUCUUCCUUGCGCGCCCACACACUCCCUCCACGCAGCUCCUCCAUCCCAUCCUUACUCUUCUUUCUGUUUCUCCUGCACAACUGGCAGUUGGAGUUCUCGCUUCUGCCUGUCCUGGAAGAACAACUAUGAAUACAAAAUUAACAGCUUGCUAUGUGUGGUAUUAGCACGGAGCCGCUGGGUUCAGCGCACACUGUAGGCAAGGGGGCCGGUCACACAGGCAGCGCUGGGACAGUAGGUCUCACCUGCUCCCCGCUCUGCUUCCCCAUGUGCAGCCUGGACAAGGAAAACCCAGGAAUUGCCUGAGAUGCUUAGAGAGCGGUCAGUGGCUUCUCCAACACAAACCACUUCUCUUCCAGACCCCGCCACAGUAAGUGCCUGGGCUCGGGCCCACCUCCCACACCUCUGCAAGCUCUGGAAGGCAGCAGCCUUGUGCUGUGGGCCCAACCCUGACAAGACCAGCUCAUACGAGACCCUCGGUCAGCGUGUGGUCCACUUAUGAAACAAAUGUUCCCGAAAGACAGGUGUGGCUCUCGUAUCGUUCUUCUUACUAAGACCCAGCAGUGGCCCAGAUCCUUCUCGGAAUGGCUUCCAGGUCCUGCCAGCCCACCCGACCCUGGGCACUGUCAUCCGAGAUGGCCGGCUCCACCCUGACUGUGCUCUCGCAUCACCUCCUCUGCCUGCUGUGUCCUCCUUCCAGGUCACAUCUAACCGAUUCCUACUCCUGCUUCAAAGUGAAAGCUUUCUUCUGUCCAGGCCUCCUUGUGAACCAGCCCAUACCUGUGCACGGCUCUUUCAUGCACAAUCUACAUCCUCUUCAAACUCACUGCCUACACAACUCCCGCCCUGACUGCCCCAAAACUGCUUGACAGGAACAGUAAUCUUCGGAUACCUUAUAUCGAUGCCCGUGUUUUCAAGGCCGAUGAUUCCUUCCACCGUUUGUUUGAUUUUUAUAAAAACCCCUCCAACCCUGGAGCUGUAAGGCAUGAGAUUCUGCUCCAGCGAGCCUGGGAAGGAAAGCGCAAACCCCGAGCGGAAGCCCCUCAGCCUAGCGCUGCUGUUGUUUCUGACCUGCGGAAGACAAGAGUGUUUCUCACCGCUCCUUGGAAUCUGUGCCCGGAGUAGCAGGGUGAUCGCAGGCAACAGGCACUGGAACCAAGCUGUGAACUCGUGGCGUCGAGCGGCCAGCAGGACCCGGGCGCCUGACACCCAGAGGCCCGGCUCUCACAGACCCCACAGCGCCUGGCCAAGGACUGCAGCGGAACAAGAGAAGAAAGGAAGCGAGUGUCUGCACGUGAGCCAGGAGACGCUUUCUGGGUUCUCCUCUCUCCAAGGGGCCCAGUUUUCAGUUCCACAGAAGUGAAUCCCAGCCACGGUGAUUGCCUUUCAGUCCUGUCAAACUGCUUCAAAAUAUUUUUACAAUACCCGUUUAGACUU